UAACGAAUAUUCCGCAAUGCGCGAAAGCGUGACGGAGCAAUGCCGCGUGUGGGAUGAAGCAUCUAGGUGUGUAAACCACUGUCAGGGUUUAGGAAACAAAUGACCAGACCCAAAGGAAGAGCCGGCUAACUCUGUGCCAGCAGCCGCGGUAAUACAGAGGGCUCAAGCGUUAAUCGGAAUCACUGGGCUUAAAGGGUCCGCAGGCGGAUUGGUAAGUAUCUUGUGAAAUACCAUGGCUCAACCAUGGAAUUGCUCGGUAAACUGCCAAUCUUGAACACGGUAGGGGCCAUCGGAACUCUAGGUGGAGCGGUGAAAUGCGUAGAUAUCUAGAGGAACGCCAGAGGCGAAGGCGGAUGGCUGGGCCGUUGUUGACGCUCAGGGACGAAAGCAUGGGUAGCGAACGGGAUUAGAUACCCCCGUAGUCC
rnacentral:rRNA from 1 species